rnacentral:tRNA from 1 species
GCCUGGGUGGCUCAGUUGGUUAAGCAUUCGACUUUAGCUCAGAUCAUGAUCUCACGUCUCGUGGGUUCGAGCCCCACGUCUGGCU